AGUGGAUACAUCAUCCUCAGAAGGAAUUACAAGAUCAACGUCUUCUUGAAAACCAAUGGCACCCAAACUCUCAGGGAGACUGGAUAUUUUCUGAGGUAAGGACGCAAUAGUUCUAAAACCAGGUGUCUCGAGAUCAUUUGACUGAGCUUUAGCAUCAAGAGGUGACAUUAAAACCAGUUCUAUACUAUUUUCAUUCAUAGCAGAUUCUUCGGCGACAGGUAUCACUUGCUCUUUUUUAAGAGGAAAUUCAGAAGUAGGUGUUUCUAAUUGCCUGCAAAUCUCUUUAUUGACCAUUUCUGAAACAGCAAGAGCAUUUUUAGUUUCAAGAGAAGAAACAGUUAUUGCGUCGGAUUUGUUUUUCAUGGGAAUAUCAGAAUCUCCAUUUUCAUCUGCCAAUGAUUUUUCAACAAUAUCAGCUGCAACAAGAAUAUUUUUAACCUCGACAUUAUCGCUGUGUUUUCCUUUCUUUUUCUUCUUACGACGUUUACUUCUGUCAUUAUUGGCUAAAGGAGCAGUGGAUACAUCAUCCUCAGAAGGAAUUACAAGAUCAACGUCUUCUUGAAAAUCAAUGGUACCCAAACUCUCAGGGAGACUGGAUAUUUUCUGAGGUAAGGACGCAAUAGUUCUAAAACCAGGUGUCUCGAGAUCAUUUGACUGAGCUUUAGCAUCAAGAGGUGACGUCAAAACCAGUUCUAUACUAUUUUCAUUCAUAGCAGAUUCUUCGGCGACAGGUAUCACUUGCUCUUUUUCAAGAGGAAAUUCAGAAGUAGGUGUUUCUAAUAGCCUGCAAAUCUCUUUAUUGACCUUUUCUGAAACAGC
rnacentral:lncRNA from 1 species